rnacentral:tRNA from 1 species
GGGUAUGUAGUUUAGUUUAUAGAACGCCGGCCUUGUAACCCGGAAGGGAGUGUUCUCUUUACCCUC